GGACAACAGACGGAAACGACUGCCAAUACCGAAUAAGUUCCAAGAGCCGCAUGGCCCAUGGAAGAAAAGGUGGCCUCUACCUGUAAGCUAUCGCCUGAAGAGGGGUUUGCGUCUGAUUAGCUGGUUGGAGGGGUAACGGCCCACCAAGGCGACGAUCAGUAGUCGGUCUGAGAGGAUGAACGGCCACACUGGAACUGAGACACGGUCCAGACUCCUACGGGAGGCAGCAGUGGGGAAUCUUCCGCAAUGGGCGAAAGCCUGACGGAGCAACGCCGCGUGAGUGAUGACGGCCUUCGGGUUGUAAAACUCUGUGAUCCGGGACGAAAAGGCAGAGUGCGAAGAACAAACUGCAUUGACGGUACCGGAAAAGCAAGCCACGGCUAACUACGUGCCAGCAGCCGCGGUAAUACGUAGGUGGCAAGCGUUGUCCGGAAUUAUUGGGCGUAAAGCGCGCGCAGGCGGCUUCCCAAGUCCCUCUUAAAAGUGCGGGGCUUAACCCCGUGAUGGGAAGGAAACUGGGAAGCUGGAGUAUCGGAGAGGAAAGUGGAAUUCCUAGUGUAGCGGUGAAAUGCGUAGAGAUUAGGAAGAACACCGGUGGCGAAGGCGACUUUCUGGACGAAAACUGACGCUGAGGCGCGAAAGCGUGGGGAGCAAACAGGAUUAGAUACCCUGGUAGUCCACGCCGUAAACGAUGGAUACUAGGUGUAGGAGGUAUCGACCCCUCCUGUGCCGGAG
rnacentral:rRNA from 1 species